CCUGAAGAGUACGCACACAUAUAAAAAACAACCCUUGUAUACAUGAAUACACACACCCACACAGCCCGGGCCGGGCGCGAAGCUUCAGUAUCGGUUCGACCGUUGCACGGAGCGGGCGUGUCGCGUGUAUGAACAAAAAAAUUACGUACAAUAUAACUCGGUGAAUAUUUUGUGUGUUUAAUAACGGGAGUGAUUUACUUUGUGCUAUGAUGGAAUACAAUUGAUGUGUGUGUUGUUAUAUUUUGGAUGGUAAUAUAUAAUAUCCCGCGGUACGCGUGACGAAAUGAAAUAAAAAUCGAAGUGUACAAAGUGUAUCUGUGUUGUGCGUUCUGUAAUGGUGUGAGUGAGUGUACGUACAAAAAUGUCGUCGAAAAUUUUGGCAGUUCUGCUGAUCGUCGUCUGUCAGACCGCACUCGCUGAAAGAGGUAUGAUUUUAAUUAUUUACUGUUUAAAUGUAUUAUUGAAAUGCUGAUCGGAGCGGUUAUAACCGGUUUCAGCUGGUUAUGAGUCAGUUGAUACCAGUUUCGACCGGUUUUUAAAUAGAGUCAAAUGUGCUAAAAAAUAAAUAAAACAGAUUUUUUUUUUGUUUUGUUUGAACUAAGUCAGGAUAUAACUCAAUAGUGUUCUAUAAUUGUAUCAUUAGAUUUGAAAGAAGCUAAGAUAAACCACUCUUAUUUUAAACUUGACUCCAUAAUUAGUAUUACAAUGACAGUCUAUGUCUGCCUUUAGUAAUAAAAUUAGGAAAUAAAACAUUUACAUUAU
rnacentral:misc_RNA from 1 species